UACGUAGGCAGCGAGCGUUGUUCGGAGUUACUGGGCGUAAAGGGUGUGUAGGCGGUUGUUUAAGUUUGGUGUGAAAUCUCCCGGCUCAACUGGGAGGGUGCGCCGAAUACUGAAUGACUUGGAGUGCGGGAGAGGUGAGUGGAAUUCCUGGUGUAGCGGUGAAAUGCGUAGAUAUCAGGAGGAACACCGGUGGCGAAGGCGGCUCUCUGGACCACAACUGACGCUGAGGCGCGAAAGCUAGGGGAGCAAACAGG
rnacentral:rRNA from 1 species